AGAGGGAGCCUAGAGAGAUUGCUACCACUUCCAAGGAAGGCAGCAGGCGCGAAAAUUACCCAAUAAAAAUACUUUGAGGUAGUAACAAAAAAUAACGACAACGUAAAUUACAUUUAAAAGUGUAAUUGUUGAUUGUAAUGAGUACAAUUUAAAAAAAUUAAUUAGAAUCAAUUAGAGGGCAAGUCUGGUGCCAGCAGCCGCGGUAAUUCCAGCUCUAAUAGCGUAUAUUUAAGUUGUUGUAUUUAAAAAGCUCGUAGUUGAAUUUUGAAAAAAUAUAUUUGAUAAGAAGAAGUGGAAAAAUUCACUUUUUCUUUCAUGUUUGGUCUUCUCACUUUAAUGAUUAAUAGGGACUAUUGGGGCAAUUAAUAUUUCUACACGAGCGGUGAAAUGUUUAGACUGUAGAAAGAUUAACUAAUGCGAAAGCAUUUUGCAAAGGUGUUUUCAUUAAUCAAGAACGAAAGUUAAGGGAUUAAAGAUGAUCAGAUACCGUCGUAAUCUUAACUAUAAACAAUGUCGACAAAAGAUGGGAUUGAAAAUACAAAUGUAUUUUCUUUCAAAAAAAGGUACUUAAAUGGUGAAUAAAUAUAGCAAUAUGUUUAUUCGCUUGUAACUGUCUCUUCCUGAAUUUCGUAAGAAAUUAAGAGUGAUCGGACUUUGGGGGGAGUAUGGUCGCAAGGCUGAAACUUAAAGGAAUUGACGGAAGAGCACCACAAGGUUGUGGAACUUGCGGUUUAAUUUGACCCAACACGGGAAAACUCACCAGGUCAGGACAUAAUAAGGAUUGACAGAUUAAUAGAUCUUUCAAAAGAGGGUUAUACCUCUGUAGAAAUCAAUGUAAGUUAAAGGUAAUAUCAGGUCUGUGAUGCCCUUAGAUGUUCUGGGCCACACGCGUGUUACAAUGGUAAAGAUCAAAGGGUAUUGGAAAAGAAGGGUUUCAGAUGUAAAAGUUUGUUAUUUGACUUUUCUAUUGCUUAAUAGAAAUAUUUGGCUAAUCCUUUUUCGAAUCUUUUUUACCAUAUCUGGGAUAGAUGCUUGUAAUUUUUCAUCUUCAACUUGGAAUACCUAGUAAACAUAAUUCAACAAAUUAUGUUGAUUACGUCCCUGCUCUUUGUACACACCGCCCGUCGCUCCUACCGAUUGAAUUAUCCGAUGAGUUA
rnacentral:rRNA from 1 species